UACGAAGGGGGCUAGCGUUGUUCGGAAUUACUGGGCGUAAAGCGCACGUAGGCGGAUUUGUAAGUCAGGGGUGAAAUCCCGGGGCUCAACCUCGGAACUGCCUUUGAUACUGCAAGUCUCGAGUCCGAUAGAGGUGAGUGGAAUUCCUAGUGUAGAGGUGAAAAUUCGUAGAUAUUAGGAAGAACACCAGUGGCGAAGGCGGCUCACUGGAUCGGUACUGACGCUGAGGCGCGAAAGCGUGGGGAGCAAACAGGG
rnacentral:rRNA from 1 species